UACGGGGGGGGCAAGCGUUGUCCGGAAUUAUUGGGCGUAAAGAGCGUGUAGGCGGUUCGGUAAGUCUGCCGUGAAAACCUGGGGCUCAACCCCGGGCGUGCGGUGGAUACUGCCGGGCUAGAGGGUGGUAGAGGCGAGUGGAAUUCCCGGUGUAGCGGUGAAAUGCGCAGAUAUCAGGAAGAACACCCGUGGCGAAGGCGGUUCUCUGGGACGGUACUGACGCUGAGACGCGAAAGCGUGGGGAGCGAACAGG
rnacentral:rRNA from 1 species